UAUAGCAGCCAUAUCACCCUGCAACUCACAACUGGCAACCCACUGAAGCUAAGCAGGUGUGAGCCUGGUCAGUACCUGGAUGGGAGACCUCCUGGAAAAAACUAAGGUUGCUGCUGGAA
ensembl:rRNA 5S_rRNA 5S ribosomal RNA